GAUGAACGCUGGCGGCGUGCCUAAUACAUGCAAGUCGAGCGAACAGACGAGGAGCUUGCUCCUCUGACGUUAGCGGCGGACGGGUGAGUAACACGUGGAUAACCUACCUAUAAGACUGGGAUAACUUCGGGAAACCGGAGCUAAUACCGGAUAAUAUAUUGAACCGCAUGGUUCAAUAGUGAAAGACGGUUUUGCUGUCACUUAUAGAUGGAUCCGCGCCGCAUUAGCUAGUUGGUAAGGUAACGGCUUACCAAGGCAACGAUGCGUAGCCGACCUGGGAGGGUGGUCGGCCACACUGGAACUGAGACACGGUCCAGACUCCUACGGGAGGCAGCAGUAGGGAAUCUUCCGCAAUGGGCGAAAGCCUGACGGAGCAACGCCGCGUGAGUGAUGAAGGUCUUCGGAUCGUAAAACUCUGUUAUUAGGGAAGAACAAAUGUGUAAGUAACUAUGCACGUCUUGACGGUACCUAAUCAGAAAGCCACGGCUAACUACGUG
rnacentral:rRNA from 1 species